rnacentral:rRNA from 1 species
GAGAGAUGGAGGCAACUCUGACGCAGCCAUGCCGCGUGCAGGAUGAAGGCGCUACGCGUUGUAAACUGCUUUUAACCGGGAAGAAACCCCAGGACGUGUCCUGGGUUGACGGUACCGGAGGAAUAAGCACCGGCUAACUUCGUGCCAGCAGCCGCGGUAACACGAAGGGUGCAAGCGUUAUCCGGAUUCAUUGGGUUUAAAGGGUGCGUAGGCGGAGCGUUAAGUCAGUGGUGAAAUCCCGCAGCUCAAC